CUAUUUAUCCCGGAAGAAAUUGCGUGUAAGAUUACUUGGCAUGCACAUUACAUAUCGGCGGGCAGAUUGGGUUGCCGGCAAAGAAUCUUAGUGGAAAUCAUUUAAACGUUCAAAUGCUUUUAAAUUUUAUUUAAAUCUUUGCAAUUUUACUUACAAUUAAUUAGGUGUUUGUGACAACUUGACUUUGUUUUACAAUUGUUACUGAUUGGUCCAGUGUUACAAGAGUAAACUAUAUAUUAAACUAUAUAUACAUACUAUUUUGUGAAAACGAAGACCAUUAACCCUGGCAAUGCGUCCAGAUGCACCCUACUUUAUUAUGUUACUCUGUCUAACGCAAUAUUAUUUUACUCUGUCUAACGCCAGACGAUUGUACUCAUCAGGGGGAGAGUGCUGCCACUCAAUGGGUUAAUUAACCUGAUUUACACGAGUGCCGUGCAUUCGUGUCGAAAAAGAAUUUGAUUGAGAAAAAAAUUUCUUUGACUGACUUAAACCACGGUUAACCGUGCUUAAACGAAAGGCAUUCAUUCAGAUUGCAUACAUAUACGUUUCUUGAGUUCCUUGAAUAAAUUUCCAUGUUUGAAUGGCCGGUUGUUCAAAGAUGGAUUAGUGCUAACUGCUAACCCUGGGUCAAAAUUUAACCUGUUGUUUUGGUUUGUAUGUCUAUUUGUUUCAAAACUUUAGAAAAUAGAACUUCUAUUGAUCCAGACAAGAAACGAUUCUGAAAAGCCCCUUUUGGGAUGAUCAAUUAAAUUA